rnacentral:lncRNA from 1 species
GGGUUUUGGGGCACUUUAGCUGCACUUUGGGUCCCUCCAGGGAGCUGUCGGGGUAUCCCAGUGCCCCGGGGCGGUUUUGAGGUCGUUCCGGGUGUUUGCGGGUGACGUUUUCCCGCCUGCCGCCGCAGCCGCCGCUGGAGAGCCUGGCGACGGUGGAGGAGACGGUGGUGCGGGACAAGGCGGUGGAGUCGCUGCGGGCCGUGUCGCACGAGCACUCGCCCGCCGACCUCGAGGGCCACUUCGUGCCGCUGGUGAAGCGCCUGGCGGGCGGCGACUGGUUCACCUCGCGCACCUCCGCCUGCGGCCUCUUCAGCGUCUGCUACCCCCGCGUCUCCAGCCCCGUCAAGGCCGAGCUGCGCCAGUGAGUGUCCCCGGGUGUCCCCUGGCAUCCCCGGAGCGUCCCCAAGUUGCCCCAAGGGAGCCAUGGUGGCCUCAAGGUUCUCCAUGGUGGCACCAAGUUCCCUCCUGGUGACGCCAAGGUGGCCCCGAGCUCCUCGUUCCCCAUGGAUCUGGCACCAUCAAAGCUGAGCCAUGCCAGGGAGUGUCCCCAGAGUGUCUCCUGGUGUCCCCAAGUUGCCCCAAGCCAGCCCUGGUGGCCCCAAGUGAGCCGUGGUGGCACCAAGGUUCUCCGUGGUGGCACCAGGUUCCCUCCUGGUGGCCCCAAGGUGGCCCCGAGCCCCUCGUUCCCCAUGGAUCUGGCGCCAUCAAGGCUGAGCUGUGCCAAGGGGUGUCCCCAGGUGUCCCCAGAGUGUCCCCAAGUGUCUCCAAGUGAGCCAUGGUGGCACCGAGGUUCUCCAUGGUGGCACCAAGUUCCCUCCUGGUGACGCCAAGGUGGCCCCAGGUCCCUCGUUCCCCAUGGAUCUGGCACCAUUGAGGCCGAGCUGUGCCAAGGGGUGUCCCCAAGUGUCCCCAAGGCAGCCCCCGGUGACG